CCGAGGCGUCAGACCUCUGAAGACGCCUGCAAGCUUUUUGUCUUUAGAUUCACUUUUUAUUCACAGGGGAACUAAAGCAGAAACUUAGACACUUUUCUCCCAUGUGGCCUUGGUCUCGUUUAGACUUGAAGUCAAGAAAAAAGGGAGAGGCCGACAUCCAACUCCUGCAAAAACUCCCUCUAACUCACAGGUUUUCCUCCUAAAUCCCACAGGGUCUUCCUGAAGAAGCACAUGUUUCUGAUGAAUGCUUAGAAAAUAUCACACGACAUAUGUCUGAUUUAUACGUUUGCAUAAAUUGUUUCUGAUUUCAUUGCCAAAUUGAGGCCAUGUCUGCAGGUAUGGGAGGCUGGGACUGAUUUAAUGAGAUUAUUUGUUCAUAUUAACCGUGUUUUCUUUACAUAUUCUACACGUCGACUCUGUAUUUUCUCCAGUUUUGUUUGAAAAAAGUCAAUAAAGAAAGCAGAAUCUUCACUUUUCAGGGGUUUGUUUAUUUCCUUGUAUUCCCAGACACUUUUUUCUGCAAGACUAUCCCAUGUGUUCUAUCCUUCAUUCCACCGGAGUCUGUAUCUGCAUCCAACCAGAUUUCAGUGGUGUGAAGUGUAAGAGACAUGGGGGACACUGCUGCACAAACAACUCUCACACAACCAGAAGGCAUUUCAAAAGUCGAGGAAGUAAAAGACAUUUGUUACAUUUUGCAUGUUGGAAAUUGCUCGUAUAUUUGCUGCAAUGUGUAUUCUCAUCAAUACUGUACUGAGCAUCUCUCUAAUAUGAAUAAAUAUCCCUGACCUCGUG